rnacentral:snRNA from 1 species
AUACAUUUCUCGGCCUUUUGGCUAAGAUCAAACGUAGUAUCUGUUCUUAUCAGUUUAAUAUCUGAUAAAUGAGUCAUCGACUCACACGGUAUUAACUCAUUUUUUUUAAGGGGAGAGUCCAUUAAGGUAGCUUGCUACUUGGGCUCUCAAGCGCGCAUGCAUUGCACUACUGCAUGGGCCUGGCGCACCCCAC